rnacentral:rRNA from 1 species
GAACCUGAGAGUUUGAUCCUGGCUCAGAACGAACGCUGGCGGCAUGCCUAACACAUGCAAGUCGAACGAAGGCUUCGGCCUUAGUGGCGCACGGGUGAGUAACACGUGGGAACCUGCCUUUCGGUUCGGAAUAACGUCUGGAAACGGACGCUAACACCGGAUACGUCCUUCGGGAGAAAGUUUACGCCGAGAGAGGGGCCCGCGUCGGAUUAGGUAGUUGGUGUGGUAACGGCGCACCAAGCCGACGAUCCGUAGCUGGUCUGAGAGGAUGAUCAGCCACACUGG